rnacentral:rRNA from 1 species
UACGGAGGGUGCAAGCGUUAUCCGGAUUUACUGGGUUUAAAGGGUGUGUAGGCGGGCUAUUAAGUCAGUGGUGAAAUCUCCGGGCUCAACCUGGAAACUGCCAUUGAUACUAUUAGUCUUGAAUUUUGUUGAGGUAGGCGGAAUAAGUCAUGUAGCGGUGAAAUGCAUAGAUAUGACUUAGAACACCAAUUGCGAAGGCAGCUUACUAAGCAAAUAUUGACGCUGAGGCACGAAAGCGUGGGGAUCAAACAGG